rnacentral:tRNA from 1 species
GCCAUCUUAGCUCAGUUGGAAGAGCGGCGGUUUCGUACACCGCAGGUCUCCGGUUCGAACCCGGAAGUUGGCUCCA